rnacentral:lncRNA from 1 species
CCUGUCUGGAUAAAUGGAUCGUGUUUGUUGUACGAACAGUAGGUUGUACAAUCAGACAUUUACAGGUUUGUGUAACCUUUGAUUUUUUUUUUUCACAGCUAAUGGGAUUCAGACCAGUGCCAAAGAGGGUGGUGUUCAGAGGAAGCAGCUGCCAUACUCAGUGGAGACUCCCUAUGGCUUCCACCUGGACCUUGACUUCCUCAAGUAUGUGGACGAUAUUGAAAAAGGCAACACCAUCAAAAGAGUGCAUAUCCAUCGUAGAAUAAAAGGCCCCGCUAAAUUCAGUACUUUGCCAAGAAACUUUAGCCUCCCUGGCCAUGGUGUUAGACCUACCCUGAAGGAAAAGGAUAGUGCAUGGCCUGGGACAUCCACUUUGGGACCAAAACCUAAAUCUCGGGUGACAGAGGUCCAACAGAUCUUUGACUUUAGGGGAGGUGAAGGAGGAACUUCUAGUUUUAGAGGACCAACUAGUCAAGGAACUGGAUUUGUGUCUGGAAAGCCCAGAGAAGAAAUGGGUGCUGGUACACAAGGUGUUGAAGACAAUGCUGUGAGUCAAAGUCGGCCAAAUCUUCUUAGAGCAUCGAGCAUGCCCAUCACCCUUCAACAGCGCAAAGGUUCUGAUUCAAGCAGCCCUGACUGCACAACCGGAACACCUGAAAAUGGAUCAACAGAGAACAUGUUCCGUCCUUCACCGGACAUCACAGAAAGACGGUGCCUCCCACAAGAUCGAGCAGGUCUUCACCAGCAGAUUACUGUGGCUCUAAAACGAGUCAGAGAACUUGAGGAGCAGGUCAAAACCAUCCCUGAACUAAAGGCUCAAAUCUGCUCAUUGAGAGAAGAGAGGGAAAAACUUUUGAAUCAACUGAAAGUCCAGACCCAAAUGCCUGUUUCUACAUCGUCCUCUGCAGCAGCCAAAAGCCAAGAUGCUGCCACAGCCAUUCAUUUCAAAGGACCUUUAGCAGAUCAAGAUCCGUCUCUUUUAAAUCAAGACUCUGGAGGCUCAGAGGUGGCUGAAACUGUAUUUGAAGAAAAAAUUACAGUUAAAGAAAGACAAAAUGAUGUAGCAGCAGCUAAAGAGUUAUCUCAGGAGACUGCCACAGCUCAAGAACUAACACAACCAUCCGAAAAAUUAGACAAACAAAAAGAGACAUUUGAGCAUGCAGAGCAGAAGCUGCCUCAGGGCAUUCAAGGACAGAUGAUGAAAUCAUCUGAGGUCAACAUUAAAGAAAAUGAGAGUCGCAAUACUAAAGAAAGCAAUACAGCAAAGGAGAUGAGAGUUGAGGACUGGGAUGGAACGCAGACGUUGCAGGAGAAGUUAAUGACACUGGAGGAAAAACUUACUCAGGCAAGCCAAGAACUAGAAAGAACUAACAAUCUUCUGAAGCAACAAAUUCAAGAGAACAAAGCAAAAGAGGAGAGAAUUUUACAACUAAGUGAAGGAAUGAGAGUAGAAAUUUGUACCACACAAGCACACGAGCAGACAAGGAGAAGAAGCAUUGACAUGGGGACAGUUACAGAGAGAAUAGAUUGCACUAACCAGGAAACAGAGACAGAAUUACCUUCUACAAUAGAUCAAGGGACCGACACCGAUAGAAUCUGUGUGGAAGUUUGUGUACCCAAGCCCAGAACCGGGAGCAUAGAUCAAGGAAUGGUGACUACAAAAGUUGACACACACGACCAGACGACAGAGAUGGAGGCAGAAAUCAUGUCGGUGAUUCCACCUCGCCCCAGAGCCAACAGCAUGGAACGGGGCACUAUAACAGAGAGCAUCAUCACUCAGGAUCAGAUGACUGAGACGCCUGUAGCUGAGAGGGUAAACCAAGUCACAGAAACAGAGGGAGAAACGGUGACAGACCAUCCUCAGAGGCCGAGAGCCAGCAGUGUAACUCAAGGGACAGAGACAGAAAGAGUGGGUACUGUCGACAGGGUGACAGAAACAGAGAUAGCACAGAGGGCUGACCAGCAAACUGAGACACAGACUGAGAGAAGAUUGGACAAUAACCCAACCAGAAGUGCAGAGGCACAGAGUGAAGAUGGAGGUGCUGUGGACAGUGAAAGACUAGAAGACGAAAGAACAAAUCAAGCAACUGCAGUGGAAUCUCAAAGUGUGGUCGCUACCAUAGAGAGUUCAAUUGCAGAAAGUACACUUGUGCAAACCACAAUUAUAGAGGCCUUUAGUCGUACAGAAGAGACUCCUAGUCCAGUUUCUAAGACACCAAGUACUCCUACAGAAGUCAGCCCAGUACAUGAUGACUCCAUAGCAAAGCAAAGUCCACAGAUUACAGAGACAGCGGAACCAGGAAAAGUAGAUGAUGUGAGUCCAUCAGCCAAGAACAAGGUACAGACUGAAGAUGUCUCAGCACCAUCAGAAAGUUCAGUAAUAACAGCAGUAGUUCCUGUCAGACCACAAAGAGGGCGAAAACCCUCAACAGAACAGACACACCCAUCCGUUCAAAGUCAGGCAGGAUCUAUGGGCUCUCAAAAGGAAUCAAACAAAGCUCAAGCACAGCAGAUCCAAGCUAAAACCCAACCCCAGGUACAGACCGUAGUUCAGGAAAAGUCUCAAUCCCCCUUGACGUCCUCUGGACCACCUAAAAAAGAUCAAGUCCCAUCAGUAUCUCAGGUUGAAGCUCAGAGUCUCACACUGAAACUGAGUGAAGAUUCUAAAGUGAAGUUGCCUAAAGCACAAUCCAAAACAGAUGCUCAGAAAGCUUCAUCAGGUCAGAGUGAAGUUCAAACUAGGCCCAAAUCCAUUCAAACCCAACCUCAGUCUCAAGCAUCUGCCUCCCGUCGGGACUCAAAAGAGAUGAAAGCACCACAGAAGGGUGUGUCACAGCCUUUGAGUCGUUCUUCUGUGGAUGCUAAAACCCACCCAACUCGACGAGUGUCUGAUGCUCAGUCUCAGGGGACGCGUAGAUCUUCCAGUGAAAGCCAGCCGCCUCACAAAGGUGUUGGAGAGACACAAUCUCUGCGAAGGAGCUCCAAUGAAGCAGCUCCACGUCGGGGCUCGAGUGAAGCUCAGGCCUUACGUAGAGGAUCUGGUGAGGCUCAGGCUGCUCGCAGGGGCUCUAGUGAUUCCCCAACGUCUCCUGCAGCCUUGGGCCAAGUUGUAACUCGCCUAACUGGGCUUCUUGGAGAGCAAUGGGCACAACUGGGGAGCAGCUCUGGCACUCAACAGAUGGCCAGCCAGCAGGAGAUCCCCGUUGCGCAGAAACAGACAGUGGGCAAAAAGGUUGAAGCAGGAAAGGGAACUGCAGCCAAGCCGGCAGGAAAAUCAGCUCCAGCAGCAACAGCAACAGCGACAACGGGGAAACCAGCAGGGAAACCUGGUCCUUCUAAAAUGAGCUCUAUUCAGAGUCAACUGGUGAGCUCCCUCAGUGUUCUGUCUGCCUUCUACUCCCCAAGCCAGAAAGGAGCUGCUGCCAGCAAACAGCAAGAACAAGGUCUCAAAUCCAUUAUGAAGAAAAAUGGGUCUGCUGACAAGCAAGGAAACAAAGGAGCCAAGAAAAACCUGAAGUUUGUUGGAGUCAAUGGAGGCUAUGAAACAACAUCCAGCGAAGAGUCCAGUGGAGACGAGAAGUCAAAAGUGGAGAUGGAGAAAGGAGAGGAAGAGGAGGAGGACAGCCUGGAGCUAAAGGUUGAGAAGGAAAAAGAGCCAGAGGAGGCAGUGGAGGUCCCGGAGGGAGACGCAGAGGUCCCGACCGAGAAGGGGGAUGACUCCGCUGACCAGAAGGAGGCCGAGAGAGGUCUGAUGGAUCCAGAAGGAGCACAUGAGCUCCUGGAGGAGGAGGAAGGGGGGAAAGUGGAUAAGGGUUUCAUUGAUGCCUGCGUUUACGUAAAGGACCGCAUGGAAGAGGUUUCAUCUCCAGAUAAAGAAAUGGUAAAUAUGUUUUGUAUAGAGGAUAUGAAAAAAAAAACUUUUUGCAAUUACUAAGUUGUAACAAAAAUGUUUUAAUUAUAUACUGCUAAGGGGC